rnacentral:rRNA from 1 species
UACGGAGGAUGCAAGCGUUAUCCGGAAUGAUUGGGCGUAAAGCGUCCGCAGGUGGCUAUGUAAGUCUGCUGUUAAAGAGCAAAGCUUAACUUUGUAAAAGCAGUGGAAACUACAUAGCUAGAGUGCGUUCGGGGCAGAGGGAAUUCCUGGUGUAGCGGUGAAAUGCGUAGAGAUCAGGAAGAACACCUGUGGCGAAAGCGGCUCACUGGACCAUAAC